GGGGACGUCUAACAUUCACUAA
rnacentral:misc_RNA from 1 species